AGAUUGAUUUGGGAGCUAAGAUAGAAGGGUCCUGGGAGGGAGAACUGUUAAAUUCUACGGUCUUUGUGAGUGAGGUUUUCUGCUUCUCCUCCUGCCAGUCCCCUUCCUGCUUCCUCUCCCUUCAACCUCUGCCUUCAUGUUUCUUGUUGCUGGAUGAAAAAGAACCCAACAGAGGUAACUGAGAGACCAGAUGGGGGUAACAGUUCCCUGGAGCUAGAGCACACCAAGCCUGAUGAAGUUCAGAAUAAACCUGUAUGAGCAUGGUAUCACCACCAAGGGAAGCUGCCACAGGCAUGUCCUCACCAACAACAUUGUGAACUGGACACACAUCUCCCACACCUACACCAAAGGUGUCUACUGGAUAUGCAUUGAAAUACCUGUGAGGUCUGCUGCUAGACUUCCCUAAAAAAUUCAGACUCUGUCCCUGGACAAAUGGACAUGGCUAAGAAAAACUUUUACUUCUAUUCCAAUAUGGGAUGAAACUAGCAAUAACUUUUAGUAAUUGUGAGUAAUGGGGCUUGUCUUUUGGUUGUAAA